CCUACGGGAGGCAGCAGUGGGGAAUAUUGCACAAUGGGCGAAAGCCUGAUGCAGCGACGCCGCGUGAGGGAUGACGGCCUUCGGGUUGUAAACCUCUUUCAGCAGGGAAGAAGCGAGAGUGACGGUACCUGCAGAAGAAGCGCCGGCUAACUACGUGCCAGCAGCCGCGGUAAUACGUAGGGCGCAAGCGUUGUCCGGAAUUAUUGGGCGUAAAGAGCUCGUAGGCGGCUUGUCACGUCGGUUGUGAAAGCCCGGGGCUUAACCCCGGGUCUGCAGUCGAUACGGGCAGGCUAGAGUGUGGUAGGGGAGAUCGGAAUUCCUGGUGUAGCGGUGAAAUGCGCAGAUAUCAGGAGGAACACCGGUGGCGAGGGCGGAUCUCUGGGCCAUUACUGACGCUGAGGAGCGAAAGCGUGGGGAGCGAACAGGAUUAGAUACCCUGGUAGUCCACGCCGUAAACGGUGGGAACUAGGUGUUGGCGACGAUUCCACGUCGUCGGUGCCGCAGCUAACGCAUUAAGUUCCCGCCUGGGGAGUACGGCCGCAAGGCUAAAACUCAAAGGAAUUGACGGCGNGAGACGNGCGACGACGACGACGAGGAGAGG
rnacentral:rRNA from 1 species